GGACGAACGCUGGCGGCGUGCCUAAUACAUGCAAGUAGAACGCUGAAGAGAGGAGCUUGCUCUUCUUGGAUGAGUUGCGAACGGGUGAGUAACGCGUAGGUAACCUGCCUUGUAGCGGGGGAUAACUAUUGGAAACGAUAGCUAAUACCGCAUAACAAUGGAUGACACAUGUCAUUUAUUUGAAAGGGGCAAUUGCUCCACUACAAGAUGGACCUGCGUUGUAUUAGCUAGUAGGUGAGGUAAUGGCUCACCUAGGCGACGAUACAUAGCCGACCUGAGAGGGUGAUCGGCCACACUGGGACUGAGACACGGCCCAGACUCCUACGGGAGGCAGCAGUAGGGAAUCUUCGGCAAUGGGGGCAACCCUGACCGAGCAACGCCGCGUGAGUGAAGAAGGUUUUCGGAUCGUAAAGCUCUGUUGUAAGUCAAGAACGGGUGUGAGAGUGGAAAGUUCACACUGUGACGGUAGCUUACCAGAAAGGGACGGCUAACUACGUGCCAGCAGCCGCGGUAAUACGUAGGUCCCGAGCGUUGUCCGGAUUUAUUGGGCGUAAAGCGAGCGCAGGCGGUUUGAUAAGUCUGAAGUUAAAGGCUGUGGCUCAACCAUAGUUCGCUUUGGAAACUGUCAAACUUGAGUGCAGAAGGGGAGAGUGGAAUUCCAUGUGUAGCGGUGAAAUGCGUAGAUAUAUGGAGGAACACCGGUGGCGAAAGCGGCUCUCUGGUCUGUAACUGACGCUGAGGCUCGAAAGCGUGGGGAGCGAACAGGAUUAGAUACCCUGGUAGUCCACGCCGUAAACGAUGAGUGCUAGGUGUUGGAUCCUUUCCGGGAUUCAGUGCCGCAGCUAACGCAUUAAGCACUCCGCCUGGGGAGUACGACCGCAAGGUUGAAACUCAAAGGAAUUGACGGGGGCCCGCACAAGCGGUGGAGCAUGUGGUUUAAUUCGAAGCAACGCGAAGAACCUUACCAGGUCUUGACAUCCCGAUGCUAUUUCUAGAGAUAGAAAGUUACUUCGGUACAUCGGUGACAGGUGGUGCAUGGUUGUCGUCAGCUCGUGUCGUGAGAUGUUGGGUUAAGUCCCGCAACGAGCGCAACCCCUAUUGUUAGUUGCCAUCAUUCAGUUGGGCACUCUAGCGAGACUGCCGGUAAUAAACCGGAGGAAGGUGGGGAUGACGUCAAAUCAUCAUGCCCCUUAUGACCUGGGCUACACACGUGCUACAAUGGUUGGUACAACGAGUUGCGAGUCGGUGACGGCGAGCUAAUCUCUUAAAGCCAAUCUCAGUUCGGAUUGUAGGCUGCAACUCGCCUACAUGAAGUCGGAAUCGCUAGUAAUCGCGGAUCAGCACGCCGCGGUGAAUACGUUCCCGGGCCUUGUACACACCGCCCGUCACACCACGAGAGUUUGUAACACCCGAAGUCGGUGAGGUAACCUUUUGGAGCCAGCCGCCUAAGGUGGGACAGAUGAUUGGGGUGAAGUCGUA
rnacentral:rRNA from 1 species